rnacentral:rRNA from 1 species
GCAAGUCGAGCGCUGAUUACAGGGUAGCAAUAUUCUGUGGUCGGAGCGGCGCAAGGGUGCGUAACACGUGGGCAAUCUGCCGUGAAGACCGGGACAACUUGCUGAAAGGCGAGCUAAUACCGGAUGUGAAAAUCGGGAGGCAUCUUCUGAUUUUCAAAGUUGGGGACCGUAAGGCCUGACGCUUCACGAUGAGCCCGCGGCCUAUCAGCUAGUUGGUGAGGUAACGGCCCACCAAGGCUAAGACGGGUAGCUGGUCUGAGAGGACGACCAGCCACACUGGAACUGAGACACGGUCCAGACACCUACGGGUGGCAGCAGUCGAGAAUUUUUCACAAUGGGCGCAAGCCUGAUGGAGCGACGCCGCGUGGGGGAUGAAUGGCUUCGGCCCGUAAACCCCUGUCAUUUGCGAUCAACCGUUAUUAUUUAAAAGAUGAUAACCUGAUAGUAGCGAAAGAGGAAGGGACGGCUAACUCUGUGCCAGCAGCCGUGGUAAUACAGAGGUCCCGAGCGUUGUUCGGAUUCACUGGGCGUAAAGGGUGCGUAGGUGGUAGGGUAAGUCGGAUGUGAAAUCUCGGAGCUCAACUCCGAAACUGCAUUGGAAACUACCCAACUUGAGGGUCGGAGGGGGGA